GAUGAACGCUGGCGGCGUGCCUAAUACAUGCAAGUCGAGCGAACAGACGAGGAGCUUGCUCCUCUGACGUUAGCGGCGGACGGGUGAGUAACACGUGGAUAACCUACCUAUAAGACUGGGAUAACUUCGGGAAACCGGAGCUAAUACCGGAUAAUAUAUUGAACCGCAUGGUUCAAUAGUGAAAGACGGUUUUGCUGUCACUUAUAGAUGGAUCCGCGCCGCAUUAGCUAGUUGGUAAGGUAACGGCUUACCAAGGCAACGAUGCGUAGCCGACCUGAGAGGGUGAUCGGCCACACUGGAACUGAGACACGGUCCAGACUCCUACGGGAGGCAGCAGUAGGGAAUCUUACGCAAUGGGCGAAAGCCUGACGGAGCAACGCCGCGUGAGUGAUGAAGGUCUUCGGAUCGUAAAACUCUGCUAUUAGGGAAGAACAAAUGUGUAAGUAACUAUGCACGUCUUGACGGUACCUAAUCAGAAAGCAACGGCUAACUACGUG
rnacentral:rRNA from 1 species